rnacentral:piRNA from 1 species
UACACUCUAAACUCUGUCCACAAUCC